UAAAAAGAAAGCACAACGAAGAGUUAGUAUUUGUGUCUGUAGUACUGUUAUUUACAUCAGAACAACAUUUUUCACGCAAAGUAACUCCUAGGCUAAGCAGUAUUAAAACGGCUGUCUCCUCUACUAUUCUACACUAGGAUUUGGUCCAGGCAUGGGAUAUGGACUCAGACUUCCCUUUUCCCCUGGUGAUGGGAUAUAUUCCUGUAAUUGUUCCCUCCUGCUCUGGUGGUAAGGGGGUAGAUGUUACCUCUUCCAGAGAUUCAUAAUCUUUAGAUAAAUAGAUGAGAACACCAUCUGAGACAUCAAAGAGCUGUUGAAGUUGUCAAAUUUCAGGUGCUUAACAAUUGUGAAGGAAAAAUGGUAGUCAUGGACAGCAGGAAAACAAAGACACAAAGGACAAAUGCAUAGAAAAUUAUGUGAAAAGAAGUUUCUUCAUUACUAGACUAUGCUUCUAUCUCUUUGAGUAAUCUCUAUGGGCUUCAUUUAGCAAAGCGUUCUGACAUCAGAAACAUAAACUCUGUACUAUUAUUCAGGGUUCAUUUUAGUUUUUGCCACAGCUCGGGGGCAGAUUCACCGAUUACAGUGGAGCUACAGAACAUGAGUCUUACAUGACAUAGCAAUGGGUCCCUAUGGAAAGCCCUUACAGAGACACCAGGUAUGUGGGGUGAAGGUGAGGGUUGGUAAGCCUCCAGCAUUCCUCCUUGAUGUGGUGUUAGCACAGAGUGGAGAUCUGCACCCAGAUCUAGGAGCUGGGAGUAUUUCAUGUUUCUGACCCGCUUCAGUGGCUGCUCUGACCGUUGCAUCAGUUUGUUAGUUGAUGUGAAAUGAAAGAUGUCUUUUAGCAGAGCAGAGAACAGCUAGUGAAUCCUCCUAGUUGUCACUGAACUACACAACUGCUUUAUAGAUUCCAUGAGAAUAAGCCAGCUUACUAGAUGGGAUGAGUCGUUCACUCCAUCUUUAAAACAGUCAAACUGUUGUUGCGGAGAUUUGUCUCCUAAUUAGUUUACCUAUGGAAGACUUGCUAAGAACUUGGGUCUCUGAAGCAAAACUGUUGCAGUAUCUCUGCACGGCACUUUGGAACUGGUCUGUCUUGAACUACAAAGUAUACUGGAAGCUUGCUAGUCUUAAUGCAGAGAAUCAUGGAAGCUUAUAGAUUUACAUGGAAGCUUUUUCUUAUGAAAAUAUAUUUGCUCUACAUGUUUAAACAAAUAAAGAAAAUAAUGGAGUUAACACUAUAAAAUUUGGAAACAUAUGACACACAGACAUCAAGAAAAACAGUUCCUGAAGACUAUGAAAUAAAGGAGCUGGACAGUUGUUAUUUGCUGAAUAAGGCAGAAGUACUAUAAAGAAGUAUUCUUCAAUAUUACUAGGAAAAGAGGAUAGAAAAAUAAUACAAGAACAAGAGAAAGACAUGAGACACAUACAACGAUGGCAUUUGGAGGUGGAAAGAUCUGAGAUAAGACAAGAGAGAUCUGGAGAGAUGGUGAAGAAAAUGUGUGAGAAAAAAACUAUACCAGAAGAGAUGAUAAAGUAGAUUAAAAAUUUAUACAAUAAAGGUCAAAAAAUUAAGCCUAAGGACCUUCCUGAAAAGCAGAAGAGUUGGGGACACAGGUUUGGGAAAUGAGUCACAGGAAGUGCUAAGUUACUAUGGUAAAGAAACAGGGAAUUGCUAAUAAAGAAGCUAUUUUUUCAUCAGACAAAGCACUACAAAUCAGGAGAUGAGCAUGAUUGAAGGAACAGUACGAUUAGCUAUCUACAUUUGCAAUCCGUGCCAUUACAAGUCAGGAGAACAGCCUCUAUUUAGCUUUCCUCACUUCUCCCCAUUUUCUUAAAAAUUCCCAUUUAGAAAAACUCGGAAGUGAGUGAUUGCUACAAAAUUUGCCUUGGCAUUAUUACCACACUUGCAUGCAGAAGCAAACUAGGCACUAAAAUACCAGGACGUUUGUACAGCUAACGUUGAACGCUGCCUUCUAUGCCUCAGUGGUCUAGGAUUUUUAACUUUAGCUACUAUCUUGUUUUGUUGUCCCAGCCCUAAACACUUCCGCUUAGUGUGAAGGCACAUACUGGCAGGCACAGAUUAGUGCUGGAUAUACACAUAAAUUAUUCCCCAUAUGUAACACAGGUAACAUGUGGUUUUGCAUACAUUUCUCAAGGAGAAAAUGGUUAAGAAAAACCUGUAUAUUUAAUCCAGAUUAUCAACAAAACAAUACUGUGUGCCUGAGAAAAACCAAUAUUAUAGUGCCAUUUGAUAUUAAAUGAAAAAGAGGAUGCAAUGUAGCCUAGUUUACUUCUGCAAAUCUGUUUCUUCCUCAGGUGUAUGAUGCAUCUAUAUGUAUUGCUUUUAGAUACAAGUGAAUUCCAGAUGGUGAUUUAAAAACUUUAUACUAUUAGGAAUUGCCUCAGGAAGACAUCAAGUAUUUCUUGGAAUGUAAUUGUACUGAAACAGAAAAUUGCAUAUGUAAAUCGAGGUGGUUAUCUUUUAAAAUAAUUUAGAGUUGGUUUCUACAACAUAAACCUACAGUUGGCUUUAAUGUUUAUCUUUUUUCGGUUUUGGAUGGGGUUGUUCUCCUGGUAGACAUAAAGCAAGUUUUUCGUGUUGUUUACCAUUCUCAUUGCUAUAGUUCAUCAGCAUGCCACAAAAGACAGUCAAGAGCUUCUCACUGGCUGGAUCUGUUUUACUGCACAGCGACCUUAUAAGGUCUACUACAAUAUGUGCACCACCUGCAUGGUCAACUGCGUUCCUGCCCUCAUCUGUAAAACAAAGAGUUACAUUAAAAAUAAAUGAAACCAAAACCCACCACAGAACCCCGAACAUCACAGUAAUCAUACAAAGCCAACUUUUUAAACAGUGAAGUCAUUUCUUCAGUGUUGUCAAAUUCCUCUAUAAAGACUCUUGAAGGCCAGCUUUUAGUGCAACAGAGCUGGGAAAGUGAGAACACCUACAACAAAAUGGAUUAACCACUUGGCACUAAUACCUUUGUACAGAUGUUUAGUUUGAUGCAGAGGCCCUGAAGCUGAAAAAUAAUCUUCAGAUGAUGCAUUGGAUUUUGCCAGAGGAAGGUUCUGAGCAUUUACAAAAUAAAGUGCACGUAUCCUGAAGGCUUUGUGGACAAGCCAAAUGACUCCUACUGCUAUGUGGAUUGAGAAAUUGAAAUAAAGAACAACCUGCUCCCUUGAGCAAGGGCAUAUGGGAAAAAAAUGGAAAAGCAAAUCAGAGGUACCAACUCACUGGCACACAGCGUGUUCUUCAUAUUUCCAUACCUGGAAUUUAGUACCACUAUCAGAUUGUUUUUGGCUGAAAGAAAACUCAUUCUCAUCUGCAAUAUACUAUAGUGUUCUGAAGUUUCAUAAAUAACACACUAUAGUCUUUGUAUGGAACUCUCUGUAUAACAAAUCCACUUUGAUGUAUCAGUGUAUGAAUAAAAGAAAAAUUGUCCUUUAUUACAGUAACCAACUAUACUGCUUCCUUUCCCAGCAGGCAGUAGACAACAAUCAAUAACCUUAAUUGCAUGGCUACUAAAAGCAGAGAUUUCCUAGUGAGUUACAAUUGGAAUCAACUGGAAAAUCUGGAUGAAAACUUACACUGCUCCUCAGUCCUCUAAUUCUUAAUGGUCCAACAGCAGAUCUCAUCUUUCCUUUGCUAUUCUGCACUCUUAACAACACUCUUCUAUCCCCAUAAUGGAGAUGCUUGGAGAUUUAGCUAUUAAGUUUUCCCAAUUCUGCAACACGUGCAGCACGAAUACCAAGGUUGUUCUCAUUUAUAAUAUGAUCUUCCACUAAAAAUUGGUCUAGAGCUCUUCAAAAAGUUUCUGAAUCUUCCAGUUGUUGUUAAUAGCAUUUAAAAGGGGCAUAUUGCAUUAGAAUGUAAGGGGUAUAAGAGGAACAGUGUAUUAAUUUUACAGAAAAAUAUAUAAUUAAUAUAUAUAUCUAAAUAAAGGGUUAUAACUAUAGUUUUAUAUAUAUGAAUACUCUCUGUAUAUACAGUAUAGCAUGUAUAUAUAGCUAUAUAUAUAUGCACUCUUCUAUAGUUAUAACCAUUUGUAUGUAUAAAGGAAGGUAUAUAUAUAUAUGUAUAGAUAGAUAUAGGGACUUCAGAUAAUGUACUGAGUGGAGCUGGAAUGGGAAGAGAAAUUCUUGGUGGAUCUAAACUGUUUAGUUUAUUACCACACUAGUGAGUGUUUUGCAGAGUAUCCAUGAAAUUGGACACGUAGCAGAGGAAAAAAGUCGUUGACUGUUUCCAUUCCUGACCUGAUCAGGACGCUAGGGAACUGUGAUUCGCUCCAGAGUAUCUUCUAUGUCUGCCCUCCGUUCAUGUGAUUUGUCUGCUCUUCAUUCAGUGAUAUGUAACGCAGAAAGUUUCUCCUCCAACCAUGGAAGACCUUCAGGAAAAAUAUAAAGUCUUGGUUCCUGUACUGACAGAAUACUGAUCUACAUAUUCCAAUAAUCUUCCUGGAAAAAAUAAGGAAAAGGAAAAAAAACAGCAUUGCAGAAAAUAUAGAGGACUCUUCAUACCUGAACUCUUUGAAACGCAAGAAAAUCAGUCUCAACUAUUCAUUUUAAAGACAUGAAGAAGAAAGUGCAAAUACAUGAAGGAGGACUUAACGACAAGCAAACGAUACAUGGACAUGCCCUGUGGAAAGCAGGACAUCCAAAUGAAGAUCUUCAGCAAUUAUUUCACUUGAACUGAAGAGUCUCCUGAACAUUCGCUUUCCAGCAGUAACUGAGUGAAAUCAGUAGAAAUUCUGAGUGUGAGCAGCUGCUGCAGAAGGCAGUGGGAAUUAUGGAGAUUCAGCAUCCAUCGCCACUCAGUAAACAGCCUGCUUCUGGAUCAGCUAAAUUCCUUCUUGACAAUAACACACCAAACCAUGCCCAUAAAUCUAAAAUGUACAGAGCAGACAGUGGAGUCAUUUGUUUAAUAUAUAGUUUUUAAAAGUCAAGACACAAAAUAUGGUGGACAGAAUGGCUGCAAAGUCCCUAGCUAUACCAGUUGUCUUCACUGAGAAUGAUGAAAGAAGUUCCCAAAAUAAGCCACAAGACCAGAAGAGAAAAGAUUCUGGAAGGAAGAGCAAAGCCCUAGACCAUGAUAGAAGAGUCAUCUGGCUGCAAGGAAGUGCUGGUGCCUGAUCUUCCACACAACCAAAACACAGGAGACACGAAGGACGUGAACGUAAAAUACCAUAAGGACCUUUGUUAAACAAAGGCUUUUUAAUUUUUCACCAGACAGAAAUGCACAUCAUCAUCUAUAAGCAAACCUGAAUCCCUUCAGUGGAUUUAUGAACUGCUGUGUUAUACAGCAGUAAUAAAGCAGAACCUGGGCAUUAAAUAAAUAAAUGAAAAUUGGACAGUAUAAGCCUGAGGAUACAAUGUUGCAGUACUGAAGAAGCCAAGAAAAACUCUUAUUGACUUCAACAAGCUCUAGAUCUGACCUUUGGCCUAUACUAUGCAAUACUUUUGCAUGUGAUUACUGGAUACAGAGGGUACUAGCCUACAAGUACUCACCAUCCUAGAAGAAAGUUUGGAUCCUGAGCAUUUUUCUAAAAAACAAUGCUAUAUCGAGGGAUCAGCUGACACAACAAAUAGCAAUCCAGAGGCACCUUCAGAAACUUGGGAAUUGGAUGGCCAGAAGUCUUCUUCAGCAAGUGUAAGGACCAAGAUUUGUAGUUAAGACUGAACAAUCCCACACACUGGGAAAGACUGGGAGCUGACUGGCUGAGGACCAGCCCUGCUGAAAACACCCAGGAGAUUACAGUGGAGGCCAAUUAAAACAUGAGCCAGCGGCAUGUUCUCAAUGCAAAUAAAUCAAACAGCAUUAUGGCUAUAUUAGGAGUGUGGCCAGCAGAUCAAGUCUCUGCUUGAUGCCUGGUGAGAACUUGCACAUCCCCAAAUUCUUAACCUGGCUCUGGAUGUCCCAGGUUGACACUGAGAAACUGGAGAAAGGACAGGGCUCCAAAGAUGAGCCUGUCCCCAGAGCAUGUGAUGUGCAAAAGUGAGGCUGGGGGAUGAGGUCUUCCUCAUUCUGCUGAAGAGAAGGAUGAAAAGUGACUGAAUAGUGGCCCUGCAGCUACCUAAAGUGAAGACACAAAGUUUAUGGAGGCUUCAAGAUGUAACUACAUAAAAUCACAGUUGACCCGGUUAUAGCACUGGCCUUCUUCAAAAUCCUUACAACCUUUAUUCAAAAUCCUUCCAAAUGACAAGUUUUGUUUUCCUUCUACAAGACUGUGAAUCUGUUCAUAUUUCAGCUCCAACACUUCCACUGUUUCUACUACAGGCUUCCUAACAGAGCAUCCAAGUAGGACAUCCUUAUUAUAGUCAGAAACAGAAACUGUGAUGCCUUCACUCCCCUUGUAAAAGGAGAAGUUAUAGCCUUCAUAAAGAUAAACAAGCACUUCAGAUCAUUUCUGGGAUGACGAUGCAUUCUGAAGAAGUGCAUUGAAUUGUUUUUUGUUCCUCCUACAGCAUUCUUGCCUGUGAAACAGUCUCAAAGAAUCCUUCGCUAAACCCCAUCCUCCACCUGAAAAUUCGUGUUUGUGGGAUGACUGCUGCCUGAAAACAGUAAAACCUGCCUGGCCUCAAGGAGUUCAUGACAGAGCAUGCAGGUUGUGGUUUUGGAGGUUAAAAGAUGAAAACUGACCAGAGAAAGGGGCUAUUCAUCAGGAAAUGGAGGCAUGACAUCAGCAACUGAAAAGUAAAAAUCUGAAAUUGUUCUUAUAAAAAUAGAAGCAUAGCACACGUCUCAAGUACUCAGUGUUUUGCUACUAGGAGCACUUCAGCAACUUGUCUCGCAAAGCUAAGAAAUGAACGUUGUUGAAACUGUGCCAUUCUGUGUACGUGACUUCAAAAACUACAUAAGUACGAGCAACAAAAGUGACAAUUUUGAGAAGAAGCCACAGUCCUCCAGGAGGAAAUGACUGCCAUGAGAAUGACUUCAGAGGAAUACACACUUGGGGCUGAAGUGGCAGCAGAGAUUUCUAUACAGCAAAGAUAAUGCAGAUCCAUAUAUACAAAAAUAUUUUUAGUGGCAGAAAUCUUUUGACUGGCAUUAAAAUAUACUUACUUGGCUUUCCAUUUUAUAUCACCAGUAUACAGAUCAGCUAAUACUAAGCCUGCAUUUUUGAACACAGAAUAGAGCUCACAUUUAACUGUAAGGCAUCACCGCACUCUGCUACAAAUGCCUAUUUGUUGAGCAUGAUUUAUGGAAUGUAGUGCAAGCCAUAGGAAGAACAAAUUAAACACUGCAGAUAUUCAUUCUCACUUCAAUUCUAAGGAUUUGCAGCUGUUAUGCGACACAGUACCCAAAAGAAUGCUAUAAGCAGAAUGGGGGAAGCUAUCGCAUUGAUUGUAUGAGCUAGAACAUAGAUCUUGAACAGCAGAAGGCAUAGUUAGCUGCUAGCCAAGGUGAAACUGAUUUCAGUCUUUGCUCUUUGGAGCAACAAGAGCUACUGCAGAGGCUGUAGUUUGCCUGGAUUCUUAUUAAGGGCAAGUGGGCCAGGCCCCAAUAUGCGAAGGAGUGGGCACAAGUAACCUCUGAUCAGUUACAGACGGGCAAUGACAGAUUCUAGAGAAAAAUUCAGUCUUCCUGAAAACAUUUUAAUGACUCUUACUUAUAUAGCAAGCUGGAGCAGAUUCUCAAGCUGUUUUCAAACUUGUCUGCAGCUGAGACGUAGUCUCAUCUAAAACAGUGCUGCAUUAAUUCUGCAUCAGCUUUUCUGAAGAGGUUUAGCUAACACUAUGAAGUUUUUUUUUGGGGGGAGACAAAGUAGAAUUGGUCACAUCUGUACUUUGACCAGAACACUCAGAUUACCAGCAUGACUUUGAGAAUAGAGAAGGAAAUACAUUCUCACUAAAUCCUGGUAUCUCCAUGCACGAAAAGAGGCCUUUGCUACACUGUAAAGAGUUGGUCCUUAUUCUGAGCAAACCUGACAGCUCUCCUCCAUGCCUGACCCCUGGCAGCUUCCAUCUGCAACUGUUCUCCAGGAGUUCUCCAUCACUUUAAAGGAAGCAAACAAGUAUCUAUCCCAUUCCACGACCAGGAAAACUGAGGCACUGCAAGUGCUUCUUCCUAUGGAAACUUCUAGUCGAAAAGGAAAGAUGUGCGUGAUCUGCAAAAAGAAACUAAACAGUGCAGCACCUGAGGCUGCAGGAAGUGCUGAUGUCAAAGCCCCGAACCGAAGUCAGGCCCCUUGCCCAAUCUGCAAAGCACACAUCCCCUCGCCCUGGGGAUCCACGGCCCAGAGCACAGAGCCACACAGGCCGGCGGAGCCACCCCUGCCCCAGCGCCCACACUGCAGCCAGCUGUGCGGGGAACCUGAUGGUGGCUGCUGGGCGCCGUACUGUGCGUGCAAAGAGGAGGAGGAGGUGGGGAAGCGAGGAGAAACCCAGAGAGCGCUCUGUGAAGGCAGUGAAACGCUGCGCUCCCUGGGUUCACACGGGAUUCGCUGGAAGCUCCAUCCAAGUGGCGACCGGUGCGAAACUACUUAAUUUACAACAUAAAGAGAGGGGGGGAAAAAAAAAAAAAAAAGGCAGAGGUAACAUGGCUGCAUUCGGAGGCACGAGUAACGCUCUUCCUCGCAGCCGGAGCGACACGAACAUCCUUACGUCUUUCUCCAACAGCGGACAGGGACAGCAGCAUAACCUUCCCAAAGCGUUACCCCGACCGCCUUCGUCACGCCGGCCGCGAUCGGCGAGAGGUCCCGGGGCCGCCUUACGUAACUCCGUGCCCCGAGCCGCCCUCAGCACACGGACAGGCGGCUCCUCGCGCCCUCCGCGUGCGGAUCGGGGCGGCCCGGCCUGCGCGGAGCCGAGCUGCCGCGGAAACUUUGCGCCGCGGAGACCGCGCGCUCCGAGCCCCGCAGCCGGCGGGGAAGUUGCACCGAGCUCGG